rnacentral:rRNA from 1 species
UGAGUAACCUGCCCUUAACUCUGGGAUAAGCCUGGGAAACUGGGUCUAAUACCGGAUAUGACUCCUCAUCGCAUGGUGGGGGGUGGAAAGCUUUAUUGUGGUUUUGGAUGGACUCGCGGCCUAUCAGCUUAUUGGUGAGGUAAUGGCUCACCAAGGCGACGACGGGUAGCCGGCCUGAGAGGGUGACCGGCCACACUGGGACUGAGACACGGCCCAGACUCCGUACGGGGAGCAG